rnacentral:rRNA from 1 species
UUUAAAUGUAAAAUAAAUAUACUAAAGUAGUAUUAGUUAUGUUCUUGAAAUUUAAAGAUUUUGGCGGUAUUUUAGUCUAUUUAGAGGAGCCUGUUCUAUAAUUGAUAAUCCACGAUUAAUUUUACUUGAUUUAUAUAAAUUUGUAUACCGUCGUUAUAAGAAGAUUUUAAAAGAAUAUAAAUUUUUAAUAUUUUAUAUAAAAAAAUAUAUCAGAUCAAGGUGCAGUUUAUAGUUAAGAAGAAAUGGGCUACAAUAAAUUUAUUUAUACGGAUUAGAAUAAGAAUUUAUUUUUAUGAAGGUGGAUUUAAUAGUAAUUAAAUUGAUUUAAAUUUUAUGAUUUUAGCUCUAAAAUAUG